UUAGCUCUUGCAUUUCCCCACACCCACCAAACAUACAUUACCUUACUCGUUAUUUUUAUAUUCUUCAAAGAUCAUGGCUGUUGUUACUACUCAGACUGAGAUUGCUACUGCAGUUCCCCCAGCCAAGUUGUUCAAGGCUUUACUCUUUGAAGCUCAUGUCUAUGCCCCUAAAAUUCUCCACCAGUUCAUCAAAAGCAUCGAUAUUCUUCAGGGAGAUGGAGGUGCUGGAACUAUUAAGAAAACCAACUUUGUAGAAGGGUUUGGAGUCUACUUAAAGGUCAAGGUAGAUGCAGUAGAUGAAGCCAACUUGAAAUUCGUCUACACUGCGUUUGAAGGUGAGCCGUGGGUAGAUACGGUAGAAAAAGCUACGUAUGAGACACAAGUAGUAGCUGCUCCUGGCGGAGGAUCCAUCUACAAGGCCACCAACAAGUACUACCCUAAGGGCAACGCUGAGAUCGAUAUCAGCAAAAUCAAGGAUGCUGAAGAAAAAACCGAAGGACUUGUCAAGGCUGUUGAAGCCUAUCUUGUGGCAAAUCCUGAUGCCUGAAACUAAAAUUUCAUAAGCCGUGUCCCAAUUACUGCCCAUCGAUCUUGCUUGUUUCUUUUUCUCUUUUCUACGAGUGUUUUUGGCAUGAUAAUAAAGUUUGUGUGUGCAGUAUUGGGUUGAAUGGAUGGCUUUUAGCAUUUGUAUUUGUUUUUGGAUUUUGGAGAGUGAAAAUGUAAAAUGCCUUGACUUGCAAUAAACAUUCUAUUUCUACUAAUA